UGCAGUCGAACGCGAAAGUGCCUUCGGGUGCGAGUAGAGUGGCGGACGGGUGAGUAACGCGUGGGAAUCUACCUUGCAGUGGGGGAUAACUCGGGGAAACUCGAGCUAAUACCGCAUACGUCCUAUGGGAGAAAGGGGGCCUCUGGCUCCCGCUGCAGGAUGAGCCCGCGUCCGAUUAGCUUGUUGGUGGGGUAACGGCCCACCAAGGCGACGAUCGGUAGCUGGUCUGAGAGGACGACCAGCCACACUGGGACUGAGACACGGCCCAGACUCCUACGGGAGGCAGCAGUGGGGAAUAUUGGACAAUGGGCGAAAGCCUGAUCCAGCAGCCGCGGUAAUACG
rnacentral:rRNA from 1 species